CUGUGGAGAAAAUUUUUGCGAGGGAAGUUCAACCUACGAAUUGUAACACCAGUCGGCCAGAAGUCCGUUUUUAUUACUUCACCUUUACACUCAAAGUCUACGCUAAGGCAAAACGUUUGUUUAUCCCUCUUACACAGAACUUUUUCAUAGAUACACUGUUGAACAGUGCAUAACAGUACAUAACACUGUACAUAAUUGUUUAUUUCAUCUAUAGAAGUCGAGAGUAAAAUGUUUACCACAUAAAUCCACGUCUUUUUGAUUUUUGACGGUGCAGCAAAGUUCGUACUAUUACUUGAAGUUCCUGUUAUUACAGUUUUCUUCUACUAUGACUAGCAAUUUGAAAAUCUUUUUUUUCCACUGUAGGUGUAUAUGCACAGUCAAGAUGCUUCACGUUCCUGUAACCGAAUGUCUAAAAGCAAUGUUUUGUAAAACUUCUUUUGUGUUUAAUUAAUGCGUAAAUUUCGGGUUUCAGUAGAUCUUCAUCUACUGCCACAUCUUUUGCCCGUAGCCACUCAAUCAUUUCCUCUUUUCUUGUAUUGGACGUUAGAGCUGCGUUCACUAAUUUGUUGUGGUAGGAAGCAUUGUCUAAUACAAGAACGGAUCUAGGUGAUAAAUUGGGUAAAAGCUAGGUCGUACCCAUUUUUCAAAGUUCUCUCAAUUUAUUUCGUUAUGGUAGUCUCCUGUUUUUGAGCCUUAAAUAGUUUAUUUAACAUUAGAACUAUACAGGGUCUUAAAAAUGGUUUCCCAAAAAUUUCAGGGUGCGUUCAUGAUGCAAAAUGUGGUCGAAAACCUUUAUACAAUUUUUUGAUAAAACAAAAAUGUUUUAUCAAUGUUUUUUCAAAAUCAAAAUAAUUCCCACUGUUUGAGAACUACUAAAAUAAUGCUCUGGACACAAAAAGAUCCCAUAAGUUUUACUCUAAGAAUUAUUGUUACUUGGUAACUAUUCUUCAUUUACUACUGUCUCAGCUACUGUCAAAGCCAAAACGUUAAAGUUACUUUGUUAUUGAAAAUUAAUUUAAUGUUUUGGAAUAUGAUCGAAUAUUCAAACGAAGAAUAUGCAGAUAUGCACUUUGUAUUUGGGGAGUGUAAUGACAGUGUAAGUGAUGCCGUAUUCCCUAAAAAGAAGUUCCAGAUAGAAAACCUAUUCUUGGAAGAGCCCAAUUUUUGCGUACAACUGGCUUAUAGUGAUACCAAGGACUCAAGGUAGGUAGAGGACGAGACGUGGAAACGGUUAGAUGUGAAAAUGUUGCGUCGAGUUGAUGAAGAAGAUUCUUCACCAAGUACUCGACAAAUAGCUAGGAAAGUUGGAGUGAGUCGUUGGACGGUAUGAAGAACUUUGAAAGAAUGUCUUUUCUAUCAGGACCAUUUACAAAGAGUUCUGUAUUGUUCAUCUGUUUUUUGGUGUUUAUUUGUUUGGCUUCAUUUUGUAGUUUAUGGAUUUAUAAAAACGUAUUGUUUUAAUGCACAGUUUGAUACAAAUAAAUUAAAAGCGUAAUUCUCGAAUAGCCUUUAGUAGGAAAUAAUCUGUGUUGCUCAAUAUUUGGUCAAUAGGUACGUAAAUUUUAUAAAAACUGCAGUCAUAGUUCAGUUCUUCACAAAGUCCCUUGCUUGCUUGGUUUCGUUGAUUAACGUAGUGACAAAUUUUUGAAUAACGUAGUGACACCGACACCUCUCGAACGAGUCGUAAGUUGAUUUGCGAUCUGUCAAAUUUGCCAUUUAAUGUGAAAAUGUCGGUCGGAGCCAAAUAUUGGUACCUUUGGCGAACGAUUUACUUGAAACUGUUUGAAAAUUCAAGUGAAAGUAAAAAUAGUGAUAAUAACGAUAGCCUUUUGAGACUAUUUUUGAUUAACGGAAACGCUACUUUUUCAACGAACCCCCGCUUGGUGGAAUCGUUUACGGUUCAUAUUACGGGCUCUGACAAAAAACUCCAAAAAGGAGCAUUAUUCUGCGUUAAAUUUCCAUGUACAGGUUAUAUAUUUCUCGACACUGGGGCAAACAAUAGAUGGUAGACAGCAGAGAUCACAUUUCUAAAGUACAACGUUGAAAACCGUCCACGAAGUGACUGCAGGUUUGGACAAGGAAGCCUCCACAAUUUUUCAUUUUCCAUGUGGUGAUGUGGACAUGCGUGCAAAGCAGUGAGUAGUAUCUACAAUACCAGCAUAUACUUGUAGUUAUAGAAGAUUUCCGUGAUUGACUGACUAAGAGAAAAUGCACAGCCUAAACCUUCGAAGCUAAAAAUGUGAAAUUUAGUAGAUCGUUCCUUAGAGGAUGUAGAAGUUCGCUAAGAAUGGAUUUAUUAAAAAUCAAUCUCUACGGGGGUGAAAUAGGGUGCAAGCUUUUGCAUGGAGAAUUGUGUUUUUCCGAGCGUUCUCAGUGUUUUCUCAAAUAAAGACCAAGUUGUUUCUGU